GAAAUGCGUGCAGACGUGUGAACUGCAGGACACAUGAACACCGACGUUUUGAACGCAAAUGGCGGCUUGAAGUAAUUUUCAAGCCACGUCUGGCUGAGGGUCGGAUAUAACAUCAAAAGUACAAAUGCUCAGUUUCUGACUGAGUUUGAUCGUCAAGUUCUGCGGAGCUUGAUUAGAAUGGAGCAUGUAAUGAUUUGCCAAAGUUUGGUCCGAAUGUUAUGGAGCAAGCAGCAAAUUCAUGUCGCACAACAAAAAGGAUUUGUGGAUAAUGGCUCAUUCAUGCUUGGGGAAAAGGUUCUUUGAACAAUUUUCAUAAAUACGACCUCAGAGUAGGCGAGAUUACCCGCUAAAUUUAA
rnacentral:misc_RNA from 1 species